rnacentral:rRNA from 1 species
CAUGCAAGUCGAGCGGUAACAGAGAGAAGCUUGCUUCUCUGCUGACGAGCGGCGGACGGGUGAGUAAGACUUGGGAAUUUGCCUUUAGGCGGGGGACAACCACUGGAAACGGUGGCUAAUACCGCAUAAUGUCUACGGACCAAAGUGGGGGACCUUCGGGCCUCACACCUAAAGAUGAGCCCAAGCGGGAUUAGCUAGUUGGUGGGAGGNUAANAGGCUCACCAAGGCGAGCGAUACCCUUAGCUAGUUCUGAAGAGGAAUUGAUCCAGCCACAUUGGGACUGAAGACCACGGCCCAGACUCUUACGGGAGGCACGCAGUGGGGGAUAUUGCACAAUGGGGGAAACCCUGAUGCAGCCAUGCCGCGUGUGUGAAGAAGGCCUUCGGGUUGUAAAGCACUUUCAGUGGUGAGGAAAGGGUAAUCGUUAAUAGCUGUUACAGUUGACGUUAGCCACAGAAGAAGCACCGGCUAACUCCGUGCCAGCAGCCGCGGUAAUACGGAGGGUGCAAGCGUUAAUCGGAAUUACUGGGCGUAAAGCGUACGUAGGCGGUGUGUUAAGCUAGAUGUGAAAGCCCCGGGCUCAACCUGGGAAUAGCAUUUAGAACUGGCACGCUAGAGUCCUGAAGAGGGUGGUAGAAUUUCCAGUGUAGCGGUGAAAUGCGUAGAUAUUGGAAGGAAUACCGGUGGCGAAGGCGGCCACCUGGUCAGAGACUGACGCUGAGGUACGAAAGCGUGGGGAGCAAACAGGAUUAGAUACCCUGGUAGUCCACGCCGUAAACGAUGUCAACUAGUUGUUCGUGUCAUUAAGACGUGAGUAACGCAGCUAACGCACUAAGUUGACCGCCUGGGGAGUACGGCCGCAAGGUUAAAACUCAAAUGAAUUGACGGGGGCCCGCACAAGCGGUGGAGCAUGUGGUUUAAUUCGAUGCAACGCGAAGAACCUUACCAUCCCUUGACAUCCAGUGAAUUUUCCAGAGAUGGAUUAGUGUCUUCGGGAACACUGAGACAGGUGCUGCAUGGCUGUCGUCAGCUUCGUGUUGUGAGAUGUUGGGUUAAGUCCCGCAACGAGCGCAACCCUUUAUCCUUAGUUGCCAGCGGUUCGGCCGGGAACUCUGGGGAGAACUUGCCGGUGGAUAAAACCGGAGGAAGGUGGGGACGACGUCAAGUCCAUCAUGGGCCCUUACGGGAUGGGCUACCCAACGGUGGCUACAAUGGCGCGUAGACAAAGGGCAAGCGACCCUGCGAGGGUAAGCGAAUCUCAUAAAGCGCGUCGUAGUCCGGAUUGGAGUCUGCAACUCGACUCCAUGAAGUCGGAAUCGCUAGUAAUCGUGGAUCAGAAUGCCACGGUGAAUACGUUCCCGGGCCUUGUACACACCGCCCGUCACACCAUGGGAGUGGGCUGCACCAGAAGUGGUUAGUUUAACCUUCGGG